rnacentral:rRNA from 1 species
CCAGGUAAAUCCGGUACCUUAUUAACGCUGAGGUGUGAUGACGAGGCACUACGGUGCUGAAGUGAUAAAUGCCCUGCUUCCAGGAAAAGCCUCUAAGCAUCAGGUAACACGAAAUCGUACCCCAAACCGACACAGGUGGUCAGGUAGAGAAUACCAAGGCGCUUGAGAGAACUCGGGUGAAGGAACUAGGCAAAAUGGUGCCGUAACUUCGGGAGAAGGCACGCUGAUAUGUAGGUGAAGCCCCUGCGGGCGGAGCUGAAAUCAGUCGAAGAUACCAGCUGGCUGCAACUGUUUAUUAAAAACACAGCACUGUGCAAACACGAAAGUGGACGUAUACGGUGUGACGCCUGCCCGGUGCCGGAAGGUUAAUUGAUGGGGUUAGCGGCAACGCGAAGCUCUUGAUCGAAGCCCCGGUAAACGGCGGCCGUAACUAUAACGGUCCUAAGGUAGCGAAAUUCCUUGUCGGGUAAGUUCCGACCUGCACGAAUGGCGUAAUGAUGGCCAGGCUGUCUCCACCCGAGACUCAGUGAAAUUGAACUCGCUGUGAAGAUGCAGUGUACCCGCGGCAAGACGGAAAGACCCCGUGAACCUUUACUAUAGCUUGACACUGAACACUGGUCCUUGAUGUGUAGGAUAGGUGGGAGGCUUUGAAGCGUGGACGCCAGUCUGCGUGGAGCCGCCCUUGAAAUACCACCCUUUAAUGGCUGGUGUUCUAACGUAGACCCGUGAUCCGGGUUGCGGACAGUGUCUGGUGGGUAGUUUGACUGGGGCGGUCUCCUCCCAAAGAGUAACGGAGGAGCACGAAGGUUGGCUAAUCCUGGUCGGACAUCAGGAGGUUAGUGCAAUGGCAUAAGCCAGCUUGACUGCGAGCGUGACGGCGCGAGCAGGUGCGAAAGCAGGUCAUAGUGAUCCGGUGGUUCUGAAUGGAAGGGCCAUCGCUCAACGGAUAAAAGGUACUCCGGGGAUAACAGGCUGAUACCGCCCAAGAGUUCAUAUCGACGGCGGUGUUUGGCACCUCGAUGUCGGCUCAUCACAUCCUGGGGCUGAAGUAGGUCCCAAGGGUAUGGCUGUUCGCCAUUUAAAGUGGUACGCGAGCUGGGUUUAGAACGUCGUGAGACAGUUCGGUCCCUAUCUGCCGUGGGCGCUGGAGAAUUGAGGGGGGCUGCUCCUAGUACGAGAGGACCGGAGUGGACGCAUCACUGGUGUUCGGGUUGUCAUGCCAAUGGCACUGCCCGGUAGCUAAAUGCGGAAGAGAUAAGUGCUGAAAGCAUCUAAGCACGAAACUUGCCCCGAGAUGAGUUCUCCCUGAGACCUUGAGUCUCCUGAAGGAACGUUGAAGACGACGACGUUGAUAGGUCGGGUGUGUAAGCGCAGCGAUGCGUUGAGCUAACCGAUACUAAUGAACCGUGAGGCUUAACCUU